GGCCUUGUGGCGCAAUGGCAGCGCGUUACUUUCCGGUGGUAAAGGUUCUAGGUUCGAGUCCUAGCUGGGUCG